rnacentral:rRNA from 1 species
UACGAAGGGGGCGAGCGUUGUUCGGAAUUACUGGGCGUAAAGGGCGCGUAGGCGGCCCCUUUUGUCGCGUGUGAAAGCCCCGGGCUCAACCUGGGAACGGCGCGCGAAACGGGGGGGGCUUGAGUUCGGGAGAGGAGAGUGGAAUUCCCAGUGUAGCGGUGAAAUGCGUAGAUAUUGGGAGGAACACCAGUGGCGAAGGCGGCUCACUGGACCGGAACUGACGCUGAGGCGCGAAAGCGUGGGGAGCAAACGGG